rnacentral:rRNA from 1 species
CUUGUUUAAAGAUUAGUAAAUAUAUUCGAAAAAAGAAAAAUAAUUUUUAAAUUAAAUGUAAAAGUAUAGUAAAGAAAUAGUAUAUAUAUAUAACUAUAGAAAAAAGUAUUGUAAAAGAAAUUCAAAAAAAUUUGAGAUAGUAAAAAUUAAAUUCUGUGCCUUGUGUAUUAGAAAAAAUUUAUAUAAUUAAAUUAUUAUUAAUAUCUCGAAAUAAAAUAUAGUUAAUUUUAUAAAAAAUUCUUUUUAAAAAAAAAGUUUUAAAUUAAAAAUUAAAAGUGAAAUGCUAUUUGAGUUUUAUUAUAUCUAGUUUUUUUAAAAAUAAAUUUAAUUUAAUUUUUAUUUAAAUAAAUAUAAAAUUUAAUGGUAGAAAGGAUAAGCUUUUUAUGUAAAAUAAAAUUAAAUAGUUUGGUUAUGUAAUUUAUUAUAAAAUUUAGCUUAAAAGUAGCUAUAUUAGUAAAGUGUUUUAACUUAUUUAUAAUGAAAAAAUAUUUGUAUGAACUUUUUAUAAAUAUAAAAAAAUUAAUUUUAUUAAAAUUUAUUAAGAUAUAAUUAUUUUAUUAGUAUAUUUUUCUAAGAGAAUUUAUAAUUUAAUUAAUAAUAAAUUUUUAAACAUUUGAAUAAUAAUAUAAAGGAAUUCGGCAAAAAUUUUCUUUACCUGUUUAACAAAAACAUGUCUUUUUGGAGAUAAAAAAAGUCAAGCCUGCCCACUGAAAAUUUUUGAAGGGCCGCGGUAUUUUGACCGUGCAAAGGUAGCGUAAUCGUUAGUUCCUUAAUUGGGAUCCUGUAUGAAUGGUUAGAUAAGAGAAAUUCUGUCUUUAUAUUAAGAAUUGAAUUUAACUUUUAAGUGAAAAGGCUUAAAUUUAUUAAAAAGACGAUAAGACCCUAUAAAGCUUAACGUUUAUAAUUUGUUUAGAAGAAUUAAUAAAUAUAAAAAUUGAAAUAAUUAAAUUUGUUUUAUUGGGGUGAUAAAAGUAAAAUGAUUUUUAACUGCUUUAAAUUAUUUACAUAAGUAUAUGAUUAGUUUAUAAAUGAUCCUGUUUUAAGAUUUAAAGUUUAAGUUACUUUAGGGAUAACAGCGUUAUUUUUUUUGAGAGUACAAAUCGAAAAGAAAGUUUGCGACCUCGAUGUUGAAUUAAAAUUUCUUUACAGAUGCAGUAACUGUGAAAGUUGGUCUGUUCGACCUUUAAAAUUUUACA